rnacentral:lncRNA from 1 species
AAGCCUGAUAAAAAAAGGACGAAGUAAAAGGAAUUUCUGCUACUCCUUUCUCCAAAGCUCUCAGACUUGGCCUCACGAUUCUGUAGUCUCCUCAAGAGUCCUGUAGAAGAUUUCCCAGAGGAGAUAGGGGAAGUGGUAGGAACUUCUUGGAUGUGCAAGCUCUGUCCUCUGAAAGUAGACCAGGGUCUUUAUUCUGGUUGUGAGUGGAGAGUGAACUCCAAGUCAGAAAAUCUUGUUACUUCUGAUUAGUCAUCAACAGAGCAAGGCCCCCUCGGGGGACUCACCUGCUCCCUGCACCAUCGAACGUGCUCUGAGUAUCACACCACCUCUCAACAUCUUCUCCUGGACAACCCUGUGCUGCUCAGCUGCUCCUGCCCUCUGACACUAGCCUCCAGUUGGGUUCUCUCUCUGACUGGAAUAGCCUGGACUGGUUGUGGAUAAAGAAGUUUGCCCCCUCCUUCUCCCUCAUUUUGCCCUCUUUGCAAUGUCUUUCCUCUCUCUUCCUACCCCAGGGACCCCCUAGUCUUCACUUCCUUCAGUUACCCUGUGUUUUCCCAUCCUCUUCCACACUUCUUCCCAUUGCAAU